AGCGAACGCCGGCGGCAGGCCUAACACAUGCAAGUCGAACGGAUCCUUCGGGAUUAGUGGCGGACGGGUGAGUAACACGUGGGAACGUGCCCUUUGGUUCGGAACAACCCAGGGAAACUUGAGCUAAUACCGGAUGUGCCCUUCGGGGGAAAGAUUUAUCGCCAUUGGAGCGGCCCGCGUCUGAUUAGCUAGUUGGUGAGGUAACGGCCCACCAAGGCGACGAUCAGUAGCUGGUCUGAGAGGAUGAUCAGCCACACUGGGACUGAGACACGGCCCAGACUCCUACGGGAGGCAGCAGUGGGGAAUCUUGCGCAAUGGGCGAAAGCCUGACGCAGCCAUGCCGCGUGAAUGAUGAAGGUCUUAGGAUUGUAAAAUUCUUUCAGCGGGGACGAUAAUGACGGUACCCGCAGAAGAAGCUCCGGCUAACUUCGUG
rnacentral:rRNA from 1 species